GAAACUCUUUUAUUGUAAAGGUGAUAUUUUGUAAAUUGAAACAUCUUAGUAACAAAGUAAUAAAUCAAAAGAGGUUUUAAGAGUAGUGGCGAGUGAAAUUAAAAUUUAAGCUUAUUAGAAUAAUAGAAAUAAAAAGUUUUAUUAGGGUUUAGUUAAAAUAACUUUAUAAGAUUUUUUUUAUUCUUUUUAGUAAUUUAAAUGUCGGGUUAGUUUAAAUGAAAAUUGGAGGACCACCUUCAAAAGCUAUUAUAAAGAUGUAUUAACCGAUAGUGUACAAGUACCGUGAGGGAAAGAAAUGAAAUUUAAAAGUAAAACCAGCUGAAAUAUUCUUAAUGUAUAACAGUGUGCUUUUUGUAUAACGAACCAACAACUUUAAAUAAAAUAAAUUUGUUUAAGUUAUUAAAUGGAGGCAAAGUGAAAGCGUGUAUAGAUGGGUUACAAUUGGGUUCUUUAAUAAGGGGCGCUUGUCCAUCUUUAUUUUAUUUAAGACUUGAAACUAAGUGAUCUAAUUAUAAUCAGGUUGAAGAAGGCGUGAUUGCUUUUUGGAGGACCGAACCCGUACCUGUUGCAAAAGGUUGGGAUGAAUUGUUAUUAGGGGUGAAAGGCCAAUCAAACUUAGAGAUAGCUAGUUCUUUGCGAAAAUUAUUUAGGUAAUGCUUUAUUUAACAAUACAGUGAAAGGGGGUAGAGCUCUUUUUAAAGUUAGGGGGUACUGAUUACUUUACUUUCUUUAGAAAAACUUCGAAUACCUUAUGUGAGUAAAUAAAAGUUAGAUUUUGAGUGCUAAGGUUCAAAAUCAAGAGGGAAACAGCCCAGAUUACGUGUUAAGGUUCUUAAAUUUUUUUAAGUAUUUUAAAGGAGAAUUACUGUUUUAAUAAUUAUGAGGUAGGCUUGGAAGCAGCCAUUCUUUAAAGAAAGCGUAAUUGCUCAAUGAUUAAGCAUUAUUUUUCCAAAAAUUUAAGGAGUUAAAAAAAAUACCGAAACAGUAACUUUAAUAAAAAUUAAUAAUUUGAUUUUAAGGGUAGCAGAGUGUUUUAUUUCUUUUGAAAAAUAUUGUUAGAUAUUUCUUGAUUAAAUAAAGAUUAAAAGUAAAUAUGUUGGUAUGAGUAACGUUAAAACGCAGUGAGAAUCUGUGUCACCGAAAACUAUAUAGGUUUUCUGUUUUAUGUUCGUCAUAACAGAGUAAAACGGUCCUUAAGUUUUAAAACGAAAGUUUUGGAUGAUAGGUUUUAAAAUAACUUUAUUAGUGAAAGUUGACUAUAUCGUAUUAUAGAUAGGGGACUAUAGGUUUUUUUAACUAUUGUUUUUUAUUUAUAUGCGUUAAAAGAAAAUAACUUCUAGAAACAACAAUAAAGAUGAGAAAAUUUAACCGUACCAAUAACCGACACAGGUUAGUUUGCAUAUAAUAUGCUUAGGUGAGUGAAUUAAUAAUUUAGAAGGAACUCGACAAAUUGACUUUGUAACUUUGGGAUAAAAAGUAUCUUAUUAUUAUUAUUAAAUAAGGUUUAAAAUAAAACGGAGGAAGCGACUGUUUAAUAAAAACACAGGUCUCUGCAAACUUGAAAAAGGUAGUAUAGAGAUUGACGCCUGCUCAGUGCUUGUAAGUAAAUAUUAGGUUGUUUUAGCAUUUUAAUAAAGCUCAAGUUAACAGCAGCAGUAUCUUUGACUGUUCAAAGGUAGCGAAAUUCAUUGGCCACUAAUUAUGGUCCUGCAUGAAUGGCGUAACGACUUCCUUAUUGUCUCCUAAAUUACUUCAGUGAAAUUGAAAUUCUUGUGAAGAUGCGAGAACCUUCUAGGUAGACGGAAAGACCCUAUGAACCUUUACUACUCCUUUAUAUUGUUUAUUUUUUUCUAUUGUGGAUUUAAGGUGGUAUAAUUUAUUAGCUAGCUAUUUGUUAGGUUUAAGAGUUAAAAUAAUGAGAGACCACCCUUUAAAAAGAGGUAAGCUUAGUAUUUUUAUAAAAAUGUAUGGCAGGUAGUUUCCUUGGGGCGAGGUCCUCCUAAAAAGUAACGGAGGAGAACAAAGGCAAUUUCUACUUUUUAAUAAAAAGUAGUUAAAAACGUUUAAUGGCAAUUUUGCUUAACUUUUUUGAAAGACAUUUCAAUAAGGGGUCUGAUAACGAUAGGUAAUAAAAUAUUCGUUGGCCUGUCAUAGUGUUCCGGUAAUUUUUUGUGGAUAAAUUAUCGCUAAACGGAUAAAAGGUACUCUAGGGAUAACAGGCUUAUAUUUUUUAAGAGUUCUUAUCGACGAAAAUGUUUGGCACCUCGAUGUCGGUUCUACAUAUCCUAGUGGUGAAGAAGCUAUUAAGGGUUUGACUGUUCGUCGAUUAAAAUGUAACGUGAACUGGGUUUAGAACGCCGUAAGGCAGUUUGGUCCCUAUCUUCUAGGAGUUUAAAGAUUGAAAAGGCUUAGGAUUAGUACGAGAGGAUUGUCCUGAACCAACCUCUGGUGAACUUGUCGUUUAUAUGGCGCAGUAAGGUAGCUACGUAGGUAUAGGUUUAAUUAUUGAAAUCAUAAAAUAAGAAACUUGCUUUAAAAAAUAUCUUUAAUGAAAAUUAAAUCUGUAAAAGAAGAUUACUUUGAUAGUUACUGUGUGUAAA
rnacentral:rRNA from 1 species